rnacentral:rRNA from 1 species
AUUGAACGCUAGCGGGAUGCCUUACACAUGCAAGUCGAACGGAGUGGCGAACGGGUGAGUAAUGUAUCGGAACGUGCCCCUUCGCGGGGGAUAACUACGCGAAAGCGUAGCUAAUACCGCAUACUAUUGGAGCGGCCGCUAUCGGAUUAGCUAGUUGGUGGGGUAACGGCUCACAAAGGCGACGCUCCGUAGCUGGUUUGAGAGGACGACCAGCCACACUGGGACUGAGACACGGCCCAGACUCCUACGGGAGGCAGCAGUGGGGAAUUUUGGACAAUGGGGGAAACCCUGAUCCAGCCAUCCCGCGUGUGCGAUGAAGGCCUUCGGGUUGUAAAGUUCUUUCGGUAGCGAGGCGUUAACUACAGAAGAAGCACCGGCUAACUCCGUGCCAGCAGCCGCGGUAAUUC